AUGGAUAUUUAUUCUGCAGCAGUUCCUCGCUGGCUUCAAUUUCUCCUCACCGAUAAAUUCUACAACGCUUGCUUAAUUCAUCCGAAAACCAAAAAAAAAAUGAAAAGAAUGUAUAUUGUUUGGAUUGUUGCAUCAGUCUUUGCCCUCACUGUGUUUCUCCUCACUCAGCUCACCUCCAUCAAACUGCAACCCAUUCCGCAAGCACCUUCGUCAAGCAGCACCUUCCUCAAGCAUUCUUUCUGUCAAACAGCUCCUUCCUCAACAAACCUCUCCCCACUGUCCGAUUAA